GACGAACGCUGGCGGCGUGCUUAACACAUGCAAGUCGAACGGAAAGGCCCUGCUUUUGUGGGGUGCUCGAGUGGCGAACGGGUGAGUAACACGUGAGUAACCUGCCCUUGACUUUGGGAUAACUUCAGGAAACUGGGGCUAAUACCGGAUAGGAGCUCCUGCUGCAUGGUGGGGGUUGGAAAGUUUCGGCGGUUGGGGAUGGACUCGCGGCUUAUCAGCUUGUUGGUGGGGUAGUGGCUUACCAAGGCUUUGACGGGUAGCCGGCCUGAGAGGGUGACCGGCCACAUUGGGACUGAGAUACGGCCCAGACUCCUACGGGAGGCAGCAGUGGAGUAUAUUGCACAAUGGGCGGAAGCCUAAUGCAGCAACGCCGCGUGCGGGAUGACGGCCUUCGGGUUGUAAACCGCUUUCGCCUGUGACGAAGCGUGAGUGACGGUAAUGGGUAAAGAAGCACCGGCUAACUACGUG
rnacentral:rRNA from 1 species